AAGACCUUGCGCUUUUGGAGCGGCCGAUGCCUGAUUAGCUUGUUGGUAAGGUAAAAGCUUACCAAGGCUUCGAUCAGUAGCUGGUCUGAGAGGACGACCAGCCACACUGGGACUGAGACACGGCCCAGACUCCUACGGGAGGCAGCAGUGGGGAAUUUUGGACAAUGGGGGCAACCCUGAUCCAGCCAUGCCGCGUGAGUGAAGAAGGCCUUCGGGUUGUAAAGCUCUUUCAGCCGGAACGAAACGGUUACGGAUAACACCCGUGACUACUGACGGUACCGGAAGAGGAAGCACCGGCUAACUACGUGCCAGCAGCCGCGGUAAUACGUAGGGUGCGAGCGUUAAUCGGAAUUACUGGGCGUAAAGCGUGCGCAGGCGGUUUUGUAAGUUAGAUGUGAAAGCCCCGGGCUCAACCUGGGAACU
rnacentral:rRNA from 1 species